AGUGAACGCUGGCGGUAGGCCUAACACAUGCAAGUCGAACGGCAGCACAGUAAGAGCUUGCUCUUACGGGUGGCGAGUGGCGGACGGGUGAGGAAUACAUCGGAAUCUACUUUUUCGUGGGGGAUAACGUAGGGAAACUUACGCUAAUACCGCAUACGACCUACGGGUGAAAGCAGGGGAUCUUCGGACCUUGCGCGAUUGAAUGAGCCGAUGUCGGAUUAGCUAGUUGGCGGGGUAAAGGCCCACCAAGGCGACGAUCCGUAGCUGGUCUGAGAGGAUGAUCAGCCACACUGGAACUGAGACACGGUCCAGACUCCUACGGGAGGCAGCAGUGGGGAAUAUUGGACAGUGGGCGCAAGCCUGAUCCAGCCAUACCGCGUGGGUGAAGAAGGCCUUCGGGCUGUAAAGCCCUUUUGUUGGGAAAGAAAAGCAGCAGGUUAAUACCCCGCUGUUCUGACGGUACCCAAAGAAUAAGCACCGGCUAACUUCGUG
rnacentral:rRNA from 1 species